AUUCCAGCUCCAAUAGCGUAUAUUAAAGUUGUUGCGGUUAAAAAGCUCGUAGUUGGAUUUCUGCCGAGGACGACCGGUCCGCCCUCUGGGUGAGUAUCUGGCUCGGCCUGGGCAUCUUCUUGGAGAACGUAGCUGCACUUGACUGUGUGGUGCGGUAUCCAGGACUUUUACUUUGAGGAAAUCAGAGUGUUUCAAGCAGGCAUACGCCUUGAAUACAUUAGCAUGGAAUAAUAAGAUAGGACUUUGGUGGUUUAUUUUGUUGGUUUGCACACCAAGGUAAUGAUUAAUAGGGACAGUUGGGGGUAUCCGUAUUUCGUAGUCAGAGGUGAAAUUCUUGGAUUUACGAAAGACGAACUACAGCGAAAGCAUUUACCAAGGAUGUUUUCAUUG
rnacentral:rRNA from 1 species